rfam:Canis lupus familiaris chromosome 36, whole genome shotgun sequence.
GGAUGUGAGGGUGAGCUGGCCAUCACCCCAUUGAUUGGCUGUGCGGCUGGCUAGGCAUGUGUCCCCAUCUUCCCUGGCUGCUCCACCUGAGUCCCUUCCAAAGCCAAACUCUCAAAGACGAGGACCUUCCCCGUAGAGGGGACCUUCUUGAGUGAGGGGUAUACGAGUGGCUGUGCUCCCCUCCCAGAACCCCCAAACAAGCCUUCAUUUAUUUGUGCAGCCUCCACCCCCACCCCCCGCCCCAUCCAGCCAUCCGUCCACU